rnacentral:rRNA from 1 species
GAUGAACGUUGGCGGCGUGCCUAACACAUGCAAGUCGAACGAUAGUCGCAAGACUAUAGUGGCGCACGGGUGAGUAACACGUAGCUUACCAGCCUCUCAGCGCGGGAUAACGGCUCGAAAGAGGUGCUAAUACCGCAUAAGCUCACGGGAUGUAGAGACUAGUGAGAAAAGGUGCAAAUCCCUGAGAGACGGGGGCUACGGCCCGACCUACACGACGUACGUUAGGGUUUGGGCGGGUAACCGGGGUAACCGGGCCGACCCAAACCGGAACGGGACCGGAACCGGGGUAACGGGGGGUAACCGGGGUACCGUAGAAGGGGACGGGACCCCCG